CAGGAAAGGGCGCAGCGCUCGUGUUUCCUGCAGGGAGGAUCCCGUGUGCCCUGGGUUCCUCCACGUUCAAAAGCCAGAAAAGUGUGUGCAGCUUCCAAGAGCGUGUUCCUGCUGGCCUGGGCUGCUGGGCAGAUAAAAGCAAUUCCCAUCUAGUUUAACCACUCACCUCAAAUCCUCCAAAGUAUGCGUGAGGCUCCUUGGCACUUUCAGCACAGGCUGGACCUCGUCCAUCCUUCCUUCAGGUCCUGUCUUGAAACAAAGCCACGCUGAAGGUUUAAGGGCUCCUGCAAGUUGCAGCAAAGCCCAGGACUGGCAGGCCAAGCUGGAAAACGCCAGGAGAAGUCUCCAGGAGCAGCUUUUGUGCUUUUCCUCGGCACAUCCCAUGGAAACUUCAUCCCGGAGCCUCCGGAGCCACCUUGCUGUGGGCACUGGGAGAAGCUGCUCUGCGGGAUCUCCAGAAUAAAAGCCCUCCGUUUCCCACUUCUCCCGUGAUUUCCGUGGACUUCUGGAAGCUGCGAUGGGCAGGUGAACAUCUCCAGUGUAGAGAUAAACAGCAAUUAAAUAAAAAAAUAAAA